rnacentral:rRNA from 1 species
AGCAGCCGCGGUAAUACAGAGGGUGCGAGCGUUGUUCGGAAUCACUGGGCGUAAAGCGCACGUAGGCGGCGCCGUAAGUCAGGGGUGAAAUCCCGGAGCUCAACUCCGGAACUGCCCUUGAAACUGCAGUGCUAGAAUCCUGGAGAGGCGAGUGGAAUUCCGAGUGUAGAGGUGAAAUUCGUAGAUAUUCGGAAGAACACCAGUGGCGAAGGCGACUCGCUGGACAGGUAUUGACGCUGAGGUGCGAAAGCGUGGGGAGCAA